CAGUCGCCACGGUAACACGAAGGGGGCUAGCGUUGCUCGGAAUGACUGGGCGUAAAGGGCGCGUAAGCGGCGAUCAAAGUCAGGCGUGAAAUUCCUGGGCUCAACCUGGGGGCUGCGCUUGAUACUGGGUUGCUUGAGUGGGGAAGAGGGUCGUGGAAUUCCCAGUGUAGAGGUGAAAUUCGUAGAUAUCGGGAAGAACACCGGUGGCGAAGGCGGCGACCUGGUCCUUUACUGACGCUGAGGCGCGAAAGCGUGGGGAGCAAACAGGAUUAGAGACCCCCGUAGUCCCUGUCUCUUAUAC
rnacentral:rRNA from 1 species